UAAGGAAUAUUGGUCAAUGGGCGAGAGCCUGAACCAGCCAUGCCGCGUGCAGGAAGACGGCCUUAUGGGUUGUAAACUGCUUUUAUCGGGGAAUAAACCUGUCUACGUGUAGGCAGCUGAAGGUACCCGAAGAAUAAGCAUCGGCUAACUCCGUGCCAGCAGCCGCGGUAAUACGGAGGAUGCAAGCGUUAUCCGGAUUCAUUGGGUUUAAAGGGUGCGCAGGCGGAUUGGUAAGUCAGUGGUGAAAUUCAACGGCUCAACUGUUGAUCUGCCAUUGAUACUGUCAGUCUAGAGUAUAGUUGGAGUGGGCGGAAUGUGUCAUGUAGCGGUGAAAUGCUUAGAUAUGACACAGAACACCGAUCGCGAAGGCAGCUCACUAAGCUAAAACUGACGCUCAUGCACGAAAGCGUGGGGAUCAAACAGG
rnacentral:rRNA from 1 species